rnacentral:lncRNA from 1 species
UUAGUUGAAAUUGAGGUCAGGUUCGUGCUCUAUGCCAUUUUUUCUUUCAGAUCAUGUGCUCCUUUUUUAUUUUGGUGAUGGUUGAGGGUGGACCAGUCCGAUGAGGUCCACCGAAGAAGAAGACCGGAGCUCUGGCUCCGGCGGUGCGUUCGCACGUCUCCCAGCCACAGGAUCCAUUCAAAACGUUUUAAUCUUGAGCAUACAUGCUGAUUACCACGCGUGUGAUCAGUUGACUCGAGUGCAUGGUGGAUUGCGCACGCUCAGCCACUUGAUAUGCCACCUCAAUUAAUGAGGGAGAUUAAGUGGCUCAC